UAGGGAAUCUUCCGCAAUGGGGGGAACCCUGACCGAGCAACGCCGCGUGAGUGAAGAAGGAUUUCGGUUCGUAAAACUCUGUUGUUAGGGAAGAAAAAAUGUAUAGUAACUAUAUACAAAAGAGACGGUACCUAACCAGAAAGCCACGGCUAACUACGUGCCAGCAGCCGCGGUAAUACGUAGGUGGCAAGCGUUGUCCGGAAUUAUUGGGCGUAAAGCGCGCGCAGGUGGUUUAGAAAGUCUGAUGUGAAAGCCCACGGCUCAACCGUGGAGGGUCAUUGGAAACUAAUAAACUUGAGUGCAGGAGAGAAAAGUGGAAUUCCUAGUGUAGCGGUGAAAUGCGUAGAGAUUAGGAGGAACACCGGUGGCGAAAGCGGCUUUUUGGCCUGCAACUGACACUGAGGCGCGAAAGCGUGGGGAGCAAACAGG
rnacentral:rRNA from 1 species